AUGCUAACAAUCCAGGCAAGUGGCUGGAACAAGCGAAAGGCAGAAAACCUUGACCGGACACUGGCCGAAAGAUACAUCAAGACUGUACAAAGGAUUACAGAGGCAACAAAGGACCUGGAGAAACUCACCGCUGAGUUAUCUCUACAGCAAGACACAGUCCAGCAGUGGGUGUCUGAUGUUCAGCAGCGGACCUCAGGAGCAACAAUCCAAAAUGACCUGCAGAGGAACAUCGAGGGGCUAUAUUUGGGCAUCAAACAGCGAAAAUUUCAGCUGUAUCGUCAGUCUGGUGAGCUGAUGAAGCUCAGGUGUUCCUGGACCCAUCAGAGGACAGAGACAGCUGCAGCAUCAGGACAGUCUAAAGGACACGAUCUGCACGGUUUACAUUGA
rnacentral:lncRNA from 1 species